rnacentral:rRNA from 1 species
UACGGGGGGGGCAAGCGUUGUUCGGAAUUACUGGGUUUAAAGGGCGCGUAGGCGGCCUUCUAAGUCGAGCGUGAAAUCCCUGGGCUCAACCCAGGAACUGCGUCCGAUACUGGAAGGCUUGAAUCCGGGAGAGGGAUGCGGAAUUCCAGGUGUAGCGGUGAAAUGCGUAGAUAUCUGGAGGAACACCGGUGGCGAAGGCGGCAUCCUGGACCGGUAUUGACGCUGAGGCGCGAAAGCCAGGGGAGCAAACGGG